rnacentral:rRNA from 1 species
AGCGAACGCUGGCGGCAGGCCUAACACAUGCAAGUCGAACGGAUCCUUCGGGAUUAGUGGCGGACGGGUGAGUAACACGUGGGAACGUGCCCUUUGGUUCGGAACAACUCAGGGAAACUUGAGCUAAUACCGGAUGUGCCCUUCGGGGGAAAGAUUUAUCGCCAUUGGAGCGGCCCGCGUCUGAUUAGCUAGUUGGUGAGGUAACGGCCCACCAAGGCGACGAUCAGUAGCUGGUCUGAGAGGAUGAUCAGCCACACUGGGACUGAGACACGGCCCAGACUCCUACGGGAGGCAGCAGUGGGGAAUCUUGCGCAAUGGGCGAAAGCCUGACGCAGCCAUGCCGCGUGAAUGAUGAAGGUCUUAGGAUUGUAAAAUUCUUUCAGCGGGGACGAUAAUGACGGUACCCGCAGAAGAAGCUCCGGCUAACUUCG